GUGGAAAUCUGUGCAGUGUUUAUUACUCUAUUAGGACUGGUUUGGCAGCCCAAAAUCCGGCCGGUUUCCUGGCCUUUUCUCCUGGAAGAAAGCCCACCAGAAGAUUGUCCUCGGAUUAUUCAUGUGUGUCAUUUGGCAGCCCAAUCUCGUGCAGAGAUUUGUCCCAUUUUCCCGUCGGAAACAACCCUGGCCUUAGGAGGCCAGGCGAUUCUCCGCCGCCUCGUCUCGUCUUCGCUAUGCACCACGAGCGCCUCCGCCGCUCCAACGCUCCAACGCUUGAGCGCCUCCAACGCCACUCCAACGCCACGAGCGCCUCCGCCGCUCCACCGAACAACUCCAACGCCACUCCAGCUCUUGCAGCAGUAGAACUCUACUGCAGCCAGGUACAUUUGAUUCUGGUUUCUGCCGCACAAGAUCCGCUACCUCUUGGACCCGGACAUCUACACCGACGGCAGGAUCUCCGUGCAGGGCAUCGACGCCGUGCUCUUCGCGCCGGACGACGCCAAGGCCACGCAGACCGUCGACCCGAACAGGAAGCCUCCUACCAUCGUCACCCACAAGAAGAAGAUCAAGCUCCGGCGAGUUCAUCUAUUGCUCAACCUCAGUAUUGGCCAACGUGAAAACAUGGAGGUGAAGUGAAGCAAGUGGUAGUUGAGCAUAUGCUGGUGGUUGGUUGUCUUCAUGAACAUCUCUUUGAUGGCUGAUACCAUUCCUGGGACUGCAAGCCAACACUGUCCUUUAACCCAUGACCCAUGAGCAACAAUUUCUUCUUAACAACAGAGCAUGAUGUUAGAGAAAUUUGGCUUCAAGCGCAAAAUUAGGUUGCUUCGUGGGAGUGAUGCAUGGCCUGAACAAAUGAUAUGAGCAAAUUUGACAACUGCAGUUCUGUUAUGGUGAAUGGUGAUUGUAGUUCAGUUUCAGCUCUAACCUAUGAAAAAUUGAAUGGCAGUUGCACUAAUCUGUUGGUGGAAUGAUUUUCCCAGUAAUUUCCUGGACAAGCAGAUCACUGAGAACCAUCUACCUUAUGAGAAAUGAUGCCUUGUAUGGUUCAGUAUAGUUCUUGUAUUGCUGGUUUAAAUUAAUUCUUGUAUGGCAGUUGCACUAAACUGAAUGGCAGUUGCACUUUGAGAUAUUCUUCUAUUGUUGGUUUAAAACCAUGGUGACUUUCUUGUAUGCAUUCUGUAUGCAUUCUUGUUUAAAACCUGGUUGCUUAUGUAUGCAUUCUUGUAUGCCGUGUAUGCA